UCCAGAGCGUCGAGUCGAGGGCCUCGUCCUGUGUACGGAUAGUCUUGUUACGUGCAUCGGUGAGGGUACCCCUUAUUGAUACCCUCGACACUCAACAUAUUGUAGUUGUAAAAUAAAUCUAGGUUCUUUUGCCUCUCCUCAUCCCACUUGCUCAAAGAACCAUAACUGAUCUCAGGCCAUGAGGAUUGAAUCAUUCUAAUCCUAGCAAAUAAAAGGGCAUACAUAGCGGCAACAAGAUCUGUAGCACGAGCAAAAAACAUGUGCCUCUUCUCUUGCAAAUCCAUCUAGAAGAUAAAACGUGGACAAGUGCUCAGACAAAAUUUAGGAUCAACGCUGACGAGGACAUAAACUCAGACUAACUGAAAAUCAUCAUACACUUGGACAAUAGCUCAGACAUAAUGAAAUCAUCAUAGACUUGGACAAAUGCUCAGACAUAACAAUAUAAUCCUCAUAUACUAGGACAGUAUCUCACAAAAAAUGUCAUCAUCACAAACUUGAGCAAUAGCUUAGCAAAAAAGGCAUUUUCAUAUAAUUGCUUUUAACCUCAGAAAGUAGGAUAUGCAUCCAAAUAAAAGAACACAAAACUCCAUAUCACACGCUACAGAUUAAAGGGAGAGGCGACAGGGGGAGGAGAUAAACAAAAUACCCACGUCAACAAGCAUGAGACCCAACAAAGCACAAUAGCAAUUGAGGCAAGUCAGAUCUGCAAGCACAAAUCCAUAACAAACAUGAUUCACAUACAAGUUAGGAUUUUGAAACCAAAACAAAAAAGAAAAAAAGAAAUACACAUGAUGAUGGAUCCAUACCUCAAAAUUAGGCAAGAAAUUAGAUCUGCCAUGCCUGCACCUAGAUGAACAACAAACGACACCUAGGGUUUCUAAAUCGGUAACAAAAAUAAAGGAUAAAAUGAGGGAAACUCACUUGCUUCGAGAGACGUCACAUCCACGGCACCUGCAACAAAUCUAGAGAGAGAGAAAGCAUUAGCAUGCCACGAAUCGAUCAAGAGCAAAGGCACACAAGAGAGGAUGGAGGAGGAAGAGCACGAACCCUAAGAACCUUCGGUGUAGAUGGGGAGUGACGAGAAGAGAGGGAGGACAUGUGAAGGGGGAUAUAUAGGCGGUGAAUGGCGGGAACGGGGAGGUAACCCUAGAAACUUCGUAUCAUCUCCUCACGCAUAGAAUCGCCCCGCAUGAGCUCGCGAGGGCAUGGAGUGAGUCAGGCUGAAGAAAAAACAGCCGAUUCGGGCUUUCUUUGGGAGCCAGGCCCGGGGGGCUUUUGCACGCACUCAGCUAGGCUCGAGGGCAGAGCCAGGUAACCAAACAGUGGUAGGCUACAUCUUGGGAGCCUGGUUCUUCCAUAUGCGGGCAACCAAACAACCCCUUAGAGCACACUAGAGAAACCAUAAACACAUAUUUGUAUAGAGUAGCAGUUUAUGGUUUUUUAGUGGUAAUUUAGUUUGAACUCUUAGAUAUAAGUUUGCUCAAUCCACUCCAACCGGUGUUCAUGGGAUCUUUCGUUGACUCAAAAUGCUAGUUCUUCAUAAUUUAAUCUCGGACAUGCUCUUCUUAAAAUAUUAGUAUUUUUAGUUAUUAAAAUAAAAAAUCUCGAUGACAAAAAGGAAAGAUAAAAAUGCAGUGGGAUAUUCUCUGCUUAAAAUAUUAGUAUUUUUAGUUAUUAAAAUAAAAAAACUUGAUAACAAAAAGGUGAGAUAAAAAUGCGGGUAAAUUUAAUGUAGGACAUUCUUUGAUGUUGAUAUUUGUUGAUAGAAAGUAUUCCAUCUGUCUCUAAAUUUAUUGGUGUACGUGCCAUAAGUUUGACUUAAUUUAUAGAAAAUAUACGUGCAGCAAUUGUAACUUUAAAUAAAUUUAUUUAAAAAUUAUGACUCAAAGUUUUUUCUAAUGAUACUAAUUAUGCACCAUAAAUAUUAAUAUUUUUAAUAUAUAUUUAUUUAAAGUUGUUUCUUAGAAAGCAAAGACGAUAGAUAUUUAGGGAUAGAAUGAGUACUCAAUAUUGUUUUUGCUAGCGUACAUCCUUUACUUAUGACAAUUGGCUCUUACACACUAUACCUUUAAAACAAUAUUUUAAGGAGUGGAUGGGAUUGCGAAACUAAAAGUGAUUGUUAGAGCAUCUCCAAGAGUAUCUCAUAUCCCUUCUCCGUCCAUGUUUUUUGGGAAAAAAAGAAAAAAAACUCAUAUCCAAGAGUAUCACAUAUCUCAUCCCCAUCUUUCGGCACUUAGCAAACCAUCCUCAAUCAUGUGUAAAAUGCAUGCACCAUAGUCACGACGUAUCCCCGUAGCUCCCCGCGUCUCCUCCUCCUUCCCUCGACUAUUUCCCACAUGUCUUCUCCUUCACGCUAUAGCACAAGCUCCGUCUAGCGAAAAGGAUCUUUGACACCGUCGACCUAGGGUUGAGAUAUGCCAUGGAUCUACUCGGCC
rnacentral:lncRNA from 1 species